rnacentral:rRNA from 1 species
CGGGAACUCUGAGACAGGUGCUGCAUGGCUGUCGUCAGCUCGUGUUGUGAAUGUUGGGUUAGUCCCGCAACGAGCGCAACCCUUAUCCUUGUUGCCAGCGGUUCGGCCGGGAACUCAAAGGAGACUGCCAGUGAUAAACUGGAGGAAGGUGGGGAUGACGUCAAGUCAUCAUGGCCCUUACGAGUAGGGCUACACACGUGCUACAAUGGCGUAUACAAAGAGAAGCGACCUCGCGAGAGCAAGCGGACCUCAUAAAGUACGUCGUAGUCCGGAUUGGAGUCUGCAACUCGACUCCAUGAAGUCGGAAUCGCUAGUAAUCGUAGAUCAGAAUCUACGGUGAAUACGUUCCCGGGCCUGUACACACCGCCCGUCACACCAUGGGAGUGGGUUGCAAAGAAGUAGGUAGCUUACCUCG